GAUUGAGAUCCAAAACCUCCCAAGACAUUUUGGAUUUGCGGAAGUCAUAGAUGUCGAGAAGCAGAAACUGUGUGGUUACUUCAAGAAAGGGGAGGGCAAGAACUUUCAGCUGACGUCAUUGUAUCUGAAUCUCAAGGGAGAAAGGUUCCCAUCUGAAGUCCAUCCAGAUGAUCCUUAAUAAGACA